UUUUAUUUUCUUUCUUACUUCCUUUUUUGUUCUCAAAUUCAUUUUUCCUAAUCAAACUUUGUUCAAAUUGUCAAACUUUUUGCUAAUUCGUGAACAUCUUUUGAAUCUGUGAACUUUUUUGAAUUCAUGAACUUGUUUAAAACUCAAAACCGUUUUAUCAAAUUCCUGAAGUUUUCUUCCAAUUUUUGUGAACUUUUUUCAUAUGCAUGUUUUUUUUUCAGUUUCUUGAACUUUUCUUAAAUUGAUGAUUCUUUAUUCAUAUUGUCUUCAAAUUUAUGAAUAUUUUUUAAUUCAAUAUUUUCAUUGAAAGUCAACAUUCAGUCGGUCAACAGUUGGGAGAGGGGGUGGUGGGUGGGCAUGACCGCCAUAUCACGUACUAUUGCACAAGGCGCAAAACAGGUGCGAGAGCAUGUCCCAUUUAUAGUGACACAAUACGCGGCGACUAUUUAUCGCAUUCAACAAGGUGGAAGGGAUCGCUUGUAAAUGCGGCACAGUAUUUGGGCCAGACCACUUCAUGCACAGUUAAAGAAAAUUUAAGAAAAGUUUUUAAUUCAAUAUUUUCAUUGAAAGUCAACAUUCAGUCGGUCAACAUUUGGGAGAGGGGGUGGUGGGUGGGCAUGACCGCCAUAUCACGUACUAUUGCACAAGGCGCAAAACAGGUGCGAGAGCAUGUCCCAUUUAUAGUGACACAAUACGCGGCGACUAUUUAUCGCAUUCAACAAGGUGGAAGGGAUCGCUUGUAAAUGCGGCACAGUAUUUGGGCCAGACCACUUCAUGCACAGUUAAAGAAAAAUGGGGAGGG
rnacentral:lncRNA from 1 species